GCCUAUGAGAAUUUGAUCCAUGUUUGGCGUGUGGGGGAACCAAUUCCCUGUUUGGCAGGGUGAACCUACUUGGGGAAGUUGCAUUUCAUAUGAAAUUAUUGAAUCUUACCUAGUC